rnacentral:rRNA from 1 species
CAGUCGCCGCGGGAAUACGGAGGGGGCUAGCGUUGUUCGGAAUCACUGGGCGUAAAGCGCACGUAGGCGGCUUUGUAAGUCAGAGGUGAAAGCCUGGAGCUCAACUCCAGAAUUGCCUUUGAGACUGCAUCGCUUGAACGUCGGAGAGGUGAGUGGAAUUCCGAGUGUAGAGGUGAAAUUCGUAGAUAUUCGGAAGAACACCAGUGGCGAAGGCGGCUCACUGGACGACUGUUGACGCUGAGGUGCGAAAGCGUGGGGAGCAAACAGGAUUAGAUACCCCAGUAGUCCCUGUCUCUUAUAC